UACGAAGGGGGCUAGCGUUGCUCGGAAUUACUGGGCGUAAAGGGAGCGUAGGCGGAUAGUUUAGUCAGAGGUGAAAGCCCAGGGCUCAACCCUGGAAUUGCCUUUGAUACUGGCUAUCUUGAGUAUGAGAGAGGUUAGCGGAACCCCGAGUGUAGAGGUGAAAUUCGUAGAUAUUCGGAAGAACACCAGUGGCGAAGGCGGCUAACUGGCUCAUUACUGACGCUGAGGCUCGAAAGCGUGGGGAGCAAACAGG
rnacentral:rRNA from 1 species